rfam:Purpureocillium lilacinum isolate PLFJ-1 scaffold00004, whole genome shotgun sequence.
GGGCGGAUGGUUUAGUGGUAUAAUUCUCCCUUAGCAUGAGCUUUCUAAGCGAUUGCCCUCCUCUGGGAGAGGUCCAGGGUUCGAUUCCCUGUUCGUCCA